rnacentral:tRNA from 1 species
UCCCUGGUGGCUCAUUGGUAAAGAAUCUGCCUGCAAUGCAGGAGGCCCGGCUUUAAUCCCUGGGCAGGGAA